rnacentral:rRNA from 1 species
GACGAACGCUGGCGGCGUGCCUAAUACAUGCAAGUCGAACGGACAGGCCCUGCUUUUGCUGGGUGCUCGAUUGGCGAACGGGUGAGAAACACGGGAGUAACCUGCCCUUGACUGUGUGAUAACUUCAGGAAACUGGGGCUAAUACCGGAUAGGAGCUCCUGCUGCUUGUUGGUGGUUGGUAAGUUUCGGCGGUUGGGGAUGGACUCGCUGCUUAUCAGCCUGUUGGUGGGGUAGUGGCUUGCCAAGGUUUUGACGGGUAGCCGGCCUGAGAGGGUGACCGGCCACAUUGGGACUGAGGUACGGCCCAGACUGCUACGGGAGGCAGCGGUGGAAAAUAUUGCGCAAUGGGCGGAAGCCUGAUGCAGCGACGCCGGGUGCGGAAUGACGGCUUUCGGGUUAUAAACCGCUUUCGACUGUAACGAAGAGUGAGUGACGGUAAUGGAUAAGAAAGCACCGGCUAACUACGUG